CGGUGGAGCAUGUGGUUUAAUUCGAAGCAACGCGAAGAACCUUACCAGGCCUUGACAUGCAGAGAACUUUCCAGAGAUGGAUUGGUGCCUUCGGGAACUCUGACACAGGUGCUGCAUGGCUGUCGUCAGCUCGUGUCGUGAGAUGUUGGGUUAAGUCCCGUAACGAGCGCAACCCUUGUCCUUAGUUACCAGCACGUUAUGGUGGGCACUCUAAGGAGGACUGCCGGUGACAAACCGGAGGAAGGUGGGGGAUGACGUCAAGUCAUCAUGGCCCUUACGGCCUGGGCUACACACGUGCUACAAUGGUCGGUACAAAGGGUUGCCAAGCCGCGAGGUGGAGCUAAUCCCAUAAAACCGAUCGUAGUCCGGAUCGCAGUCUGCAACUCGACUGCGUGAAGUCGGAAUCGCUAGUAAUCGUGAAUCAGAAUGUCACGGUGAAUACGUUCCCGGGCCUU
rnacentral:rRNA from 1 species